rnacentral:rRNA from 1 species
GACGAACGCUGGCGGCGUGCCUAAUACAUGCAAGUCGAACGCAGUGGGGACGGGUGAGUAACACGUGGGUAACCUCCCAUCAGAGGGGAUAACACUUGGAAACAGGUGCUAAACCGAUACUGAUGGAUGGACUCGGGGGGCAUUAGCCAGUUGGUGGGGUAACGGCUCACCAAGGCCACGAUGCAUAGCCGGCCUGAGAGGAUGAUCAGCCACACUGGGACUGAGACACGGCCCAGACUCCUACGGGAGGCAGCAGUGGGGAAUCUUCGGCAAUGGGCGAAAGUCUGACCGAGCCACGCCGCGUGAGUGAAGAAGGUUUUCGGGUCGUAAAGCUCUGUUAUUGGGGAAGCGGUAUCUAACCAAGAAGCCACGGCUAACUACGUGCCAGCCGCCGCGGUAAUUC